rnacentral:tRNA from 1 species
GUCCCCUUCGUCUAGAGGCCUAGGACACCACCCUUUCACGGUGGUGACAGGGGUUCGAAUCCCCUAGGGGACGCCA